UACAGAGGGGGCAAGCGUUGUCCGGAAUUACUGGGCGUAGAGCGCGCGCAGGCGGCUCGCGACGUGCCGUGUGACAAGCGGGGGCUCAACCCCCGAGGGUCACGGUAGACGCGCGGGCUGGAGGCAGAGAGAGGGAUGUGGAAUGCCCGGUGGAGCGGUGAAAUGCGUAGAGAUCGGGCGGAACACCAGCGGCGAAGGCGGCAUCCUGGCUCUGAACUGACGCUGAGGCGCGAGAGCGUGGGGAGCGAACCGG
rnacentral:rRNA from 1 species